rnacentral:lncRNA from 10 species
CUUAUCUUCUCAUAGCUUCAAUGAUGAAGACAGAAAUACUUGAAAACAUCAUAAGAUUUAUGUAAGGAUGAUAAUUUAAAAAAGAAGGAAAUGCGGAGACAGACACAUGUACUCACUCAGGCAGAACACCAUGUGAAAAUGAAGGCAACAAGCUGUAACCCAAGGAAAUUCCAAAGAUCGCAGGCAAACCACAAGAAGGUAGAAGAAUAGGAUGGAACAGUGGCUCACAGCUCUCAGAAGUAAUCAACCUGCCAACUUGGAUUUUGGCCUUCUAACAUCCAGAAAUGUAGUCUUCCUGAAGUAAAGAUGCAAAGCCAACAGAUGGAGAGAAACAGAGGUUCACGGGUUUGCCACAUGCAUGAUUUCUAUAAUCUCUAAAUUGAAUGCGCUUAGUUGCAGCUACAUCUUAUCUCAAAUAUCUGCAAUAAUUAUCUCCAAUGCUCAAUUAAAUUUUUGCAUUUCUCAAUUUAUCACUAACUACCCUAUGUAUAUGUUUCAGUUAUAACUCAUCUCAAAUAAUUUUAAAAGACUUAUGUAAUACUUAAUAAUUCGUUGAAAUGUUUCCCUUUCGUUUCUAAAGAGGAAAAUGUGCCCUUAGCCAUCACUUUUUAAAUCUAAAAGCUACAAACAGAAAUUGCUUUGCAAUUUUCAUGUACUCCUUAGAAAUUUUCUAGCUUCAAACAUGUGAUAUUUGCUUCUCUUACAUAAACGUCUCCAAAAAUGACUGCUAAAAAUGAAAACAUCUUUUCCAACAAAUAUUUUCAAUGCAAUGUAAACACAUAUUGCAAACAAUGAUUUAAACUAAUUCCAAGAAACCCAGCUAUUGGCAUUCUAGGAUUUUGCUAGUUAGGGGAACUGGCCCCAGAUGGGGAAAGCAUUCUUUGUUGUCUGAAGUGAUUACAGUAAAACAGGCCCAGACAGAAAAACUAUGGGUUGUAUGUCUCAAUACUGCAACUUUACCACCUGGCCAUUCUACUGUCACACAAAGGUCAAGCAGACAGCAAUGCAAUUUUGAGGUGGGGAAGGAAAAUAAUCCAGUCAGAAUUCAAGCAAAUGUUUGAAUUCAGAGUUUGAAUUCAGAGAAUGUUUGAGUUCAAUAAGCACUCAUUUUUCCCUUCUGGGAACCAUGUAAGGCAAUGAGAUAUGAAGAUAAAUAAUAUAUAGGCCCUUACUUGAGGAAUUCCUAAUCUAACCAAUGUCAUAGAUAUAUGAACAAAUAUACUGUGACAUGAAAAUUAAUAAGUAGUGUGUGCAAGGUAUAGUAAGACGUAAUUCCUAUAAAAUGAAGGUGGGGUGAUAACCUCUCUUCUGAACAUAAAAAGAAGGAUUCUCGGGAGCGACUGCUGAGUGAGAAUGCAUGUAUUCAUUCAUUUAUCAAAUAUUGAUGGAACAUUGUUAUGGGUUGAAUUGUGUCGCUAAAAAGAUGUGUUGAAGUCUUGACCCCUGGUACGUGUGAAUGUGACCUUAUUUGGAAGCAGGGUCUUUGCAAAUGUAACCAAGUUAAGAUGAGUUCAUUAGGAUAGGUCAUAUCCAAUAAGACUUAUGUCCUUAUGAGAAGAGGAAAAAAUUUGAACACACAGGCAUACAGGGAAUGCAGCAUGUGAAGAUGGAGGAUGAGAGAUGAGCUUGGAGUUAUGCUCCCACAAGCUGCAGAACAACUGGGGCUAACAGAAGCUGAGAGAUGCGACCCUCCCCUAGAGGUUACAGACGGAGCACAGCCCUACCAACACCUGAUUUUGGACUUCUGGCCUCUAGAAGUGUGAGAGAAUAAACUUCUGUCAUUUUAAGUCACCCUGUGUAUGGUACUUUGCUGUGGCAGUCCUAAGAAACUAAUACAAGCAUCUGCUAUGAACAAGACACCAGGAAUAUUGCUCAGGCGGAUUUAUGUGCUGCGAGUAAUUAGGCGACUUUGGAAGAGGGCACUAAGCUGGACUAUAUUCCCCAGUCCCCUGUGCAUGGCCAAAAAACGCAAUGGGACUGACUUCUAACCAGUGUGAGUGGAAAUAAGGUAUAGCACAGCCAGGACUGUCCUCUCACAAGCUGCUAUGGGUUCUUUCCCCCAUCCUGAGGAAUGGAAUGGUGAUGUCCAGAAUUUGGGAAGGCCCAUACUGAAACAGCAGUGCCUGCAUCCCCGAAUAACUGUGGAUCAGAGGACUCUCUCCUUCCCCCGCACAUGAAACCACCCAGGAUUUUUAUGAACUUGAGAAAU